rnacentral:snoRNA from 2 species
UUUUACUGAUGAUUAACUUCAACACCUUUUGCGGUUUCCACCAGAAAGCUUCGGCUUAAUGAUGGUCUAAGGCGUCUGACU